rnacentral:lncRNA from 1 species
CCCCGUCCUUGGCGCCGCGACCCAGGCCCCUGCAUCCGGGGUUCCGGGCGCGUCCCGCGUGGGGGGGGGGUCUGAUUCUCCUGCAGGCUGGAAUUGGAGAACUACCAUCGUAGUCUCUAGAUGCAUUCUGUUUUUACUUUGCAGAAAGGGAAAGCACCUCUGCUUUGGGGCCAGGGAACGAGAAUCUCCACGUCGCCAUCACUGCGAGGGUCCUUGGAUUUCUGCAUGCUGGGCAUUGGAGUGUAACUCUUUUCAGAUAUGUCUUCUUCUCCCAGGAAAGGUGCGGUGGCCUCAGUGAUGUACACUGUGGUCACCCUUAUGCUGAAUCCCUUCAUCUGCAGUCUGAGGAACAGGGACAUUAAAAACACUUUAAAGAGG